ensembl:lncRNA
GGACCUUGGAGGUCGCACAGGACAGGAGGUUAGCUCAGGGUGGAAAUUGGAAUAGAAGGGAACAAGGACAUGCCUGAAUCCCUUCAGUUAUCCUGUGUUUGCUUGUGUUUUGUGCUCUCUCUCAUCAAGAAAGAAAUUUGGUGGUGUUCAAUCUUAAAACAGAGAGUUAAGUUGCAGGUCGUCUGCACCCUUUAAGGUCAUGGAGGGGAGGCUCCUUGAACUCAGCCAAUCAAACUCGGAGGCACUUUACUUAGGUCGCUUCCCCUCCUUCUCCUUCCUCUACCUCUCCUCUCUGGUGGGCUGGUCGGCGCUGAAGUCUGUGAGUUCAAAGGAGACUCAUUUCUGUUUUGGGAGGUUACCGGCCGGUAGCAAGGUGGACUACCUGGCUUGUCUCCACGUGGGCCUUGGCAGCCCUGCGUCCCGAGACCUGGUGACCCAGAAAUAGAUUUUGCCGCGUGCACGGAGUGCCUGAUUCUCGGAAAAUCCUCGGCUUUGUUUUUUGCUUGCUAGGUAGGCACCGUUAUUAAUCCUGGCGCUGUUUCGCUAAUCUGCUCGGGCGAUCCCGGGAAGGUUUCAGGUUGAAGAUGAAAUGUGUCCAGGAAAGUGCUGGGACUGUAGCACUCUGUGUGCCAGCUCAGAUGUCCUGUGAAAACUCCAGAAUAUCUAUAAAAUGGCCUUGCAUUUGGACAUUCUCAAGAGGGAGGCUUAAAGGCUGAUGGAACUAUAAAGGCAGAGAUGAUGCUAAGUAGUUCUGAUAUUUCAAUUUGGAUUCCUAGAUUAAAAAGCUGGAUUUAGUUGAGAGGAGAAUAUUAUAAUCACCUUUACCAAGAAAGAUUGGUGCCUAGACCCAACUGUCAUCAGAGAGGCUUCCUUCAGCAACUGAUGGAAACAGACGCCAAGACCCACUGAGUUUGCGGAAUCCUGCUGAAGAACGGAAUCCUUCCUCCCAUCAAGGGGGUCAAGGACAUCCAUAAGAAAACCCACAGAAUUAUCUAACCUGUUUCAUGGAGCUCACAGAGUCUGAACUUAGGCCCUCUACAUAUGGGACAGUUGUGUAGUGUGGGAGCAGGGGAUGCCUCUGAUUCUUUACUGGCUUUUGGGACCCUAUACUGGGUUGCCUUGCAAAGCCAUAAUACAAGGGCAGGUCCUUAGUUUUACUGCAACUUGAUAUACAUGGGAGGCCUGUGCUUUUUCUGAACAGAAACUGAGGCGUGGAUUGGUGGGAGUGGGGCAGUAUGGGGCAAACAUGUGUAGACAUGUAGGCAAAACACCCAUACGCAUAAAGUUAAAUUCUGUAUCUGCCAGGUGGCCUACUCAUUGCCUCUGCCAUUGGCUCCUGAAGCCCAAUUUAGUUCUAAAAUUAGGCACAGUAUUCAAUGAGUAUAUAAUUGAGUAAUGUUUUCUUAGUGGGUUAAUCUUGUUUUGGCACUAACUUGUUGAUCAUGUGUAAGACCAUUUAAGCCAGAGUGUCUGUUCUAAUGCUUCAUAAUUUGGUUGCAGGUAAAUUUGGCUCCUCAUAGAGAGCCUAAGCACUCCAUCAUAUUGCUUGCCUUCUCAGGGCUUCUUGAGGACCAGAAGUCUGUCCCCCUACUGUUUUCUGAACUUUACCCAGACAAACAAAUUUUAAAGCAGGAGGUGACUGUAGGGUGAAGAGUUCAAAACCCAGGGCCAUAGCUAUAGAGAACUUUUUAUUGUAUCAUUCCACAGGACUAUAGUGAUUGAUCCUUGGAGUUACUGAAACACUCAUGUUUAGAUUUUAAAUGGUUUGUUGUUUUCCCAAG